CGGAGGAAAAGAAACCAACAGGGAUUGCCUCAGUAACGGCGAGUGAAGCGGCAACAGCUCAAAUUUGAAAUCUGGCCCUAGGCCCGAGUUGUAAUUUGCAGAGGAUGUUUCUGGCGAGGUGCCUUCCGAGUUCCCUGGAACGGGACGCCAUAGAGGGUGAGAGCCCCGUACGGUUGGUCGCUAAGCCUCUGUGAAACUCCUUCGACGAGUCGAGUAGUUUGGGAAUGCUGCUCUAAAUGGGAGGUAUACGUCUUCUAAAGCUAAAUACCGGCCAGAGACCGAUAGCGCACAAGUAGAGUGAUCGAAAGAUGAAAAGCACUUUGAAAAGAGGGUUAAAUAGUACGUGAAAUUGUUGAAAGGGAAGCGCUUAUGACCAGACUUGGACCGGUUGAUCAUCCAUCGUUCUCGGUGGUGCACUCUGCCGGUUCAGGCCAGCAUCAGUUUGUCCCGGGGGAUAAAGGCUUUGGGAAUGUGGCUCUUCGGAGUGUUAUAGCCCACUGCGUAAUACCCUGGGGUAGACUGAGGUUCGCGCUCCG
rnacentral:rRNA from 1 species